UACGUAGGGGGGCGAGCGUUGUCCGGAAUUAUUGGGCGUAAAGAGCGUGUAGGCGGCCAGGUAGGUCCGUUGUGAAAACUCGAGGCUCAACCUCGAGACGUCGGCGGAAACCCUCUGGCUAGAGUCCGGAAGAGGAGAGUGGAAUUCCUGGUGUAGCGGUGGAAUGCGCAGAUAUCAGGAGGAACACCGGUGGCGAAGGCGGGUCUCUGGGCCGACAUUGACGCUGAGGAGCGAAAGCGUGGGGGAGCGAACAGG
rnacentral:rRNA from 1 species